GAUGAACGCUGGCGGCGUGCCUAAUACAUGCAAGUCGAGCGAACAGAUGAGGAGCUUGCUCCCCUGACGUUAGCGGCGGACGGGUGAGUAACACGUGGAUAACCUACCUAUAAGACUGGGAUAACUACGGGAAACCGGAGCUAAUACCGGAUAAUAUAUCGAACCGCAGGGUUCAAUAGUGAAUGACGGUUUUGCUGUCACUUAUAGAUGGAUCCGCGCCGCAUUAGCUAGUUGGUAAGGUAACGGCUUACCAAGGCGACGAUGCGUAGCCGACCUGAGAGGGUGAUCGGCCACACUGGAACUGAGACACGGUCCAGACUCCUACGGGAGGCAGCAGUAGGGAAUCUUCGGCAAUGGGCGAAAGCCUGACCGAGCAACGCCGCGUGAGUGAUGAAGGUCUUCGGAUCGUAAAACUCUGUUAUUAGGGAAGAACAAAUGUGUAAGUAACUAUGCACGUCUUGACGGUACCUAAUCAGAAAGCCACGGCUAACUACGUG
rnacentral:rRNA from 1 species